GCCAUACCAUGCUGAAUAUACCGGUUCUCGUUCGAUCAAGCAUCAUCGGGCGCGGUCAGUACUUGGGAGGGUGAAAACCUGGGAACUCGGCGUGCCGUU